UUGAACGCUGGCGGCAUGCUUUACACAUGCAAGUCGAACGGUAACAGGGUGCUUGCACCGCUGACGAGUGGCGAACGGGUGAGUAAUGCAUCGGAAUGUACCGUGCAAUGGGGGAUAGCUCGGCGAAAGCCGGAUUAAUACCGCAUACGCCCUGAGGGGGAAAGUGGGGGACCGAAAGGCCUCACGUUAUACGAGCAGCCGAUGUCUGAUUAGCUAGUUGGUGAGGUAAAGGCUCACCAAGGCGUCGAUCAGUAGCGGGUCUGAGAGGAUGAUCCGCCACACUGGGACUGAGACACGGCCCAGACUCCUACGGGAGGCAGCAGUGGGGAAUUUUGGACAAUGGGCGCAAGCCUGAUCCAGCCAUGCCGCGUGUCUGAAGAAGGCCUUCGGGUUGUAAAGGACUUUUGUCCGGGAGCAAAUCCUAGUGGUUAAUAACCGCUGGGUCUGAGAGUACCGGAAGAAUAAGCACCGGCUAACUACGUG
rnacentral:rRNA from 1 species